rnacentral:rRNA from 1 species
CCAGCCUUCUGAAAGGAAGAUUAAUCCAGGAUGGCAUCAUGAGUUCACAUGUCCGCAUGAUUAAAGGUAUUUUCCGGUAGACGAUGGGGAUGCGUUCCAUUAGAUAGUAGGCGGGGUAACGGCCCACCUAGUCAACGAUGGAUAGGGGUUCUGAGAGGAAGGCCCCCCACAUUGGAACUGAGACACGGUCCAAACUCCUACGGGAGGCAGCAGUGAGGAAUAUUGGUCAAUGGGCGAUGGCCUGAACCAGCCAAGUAGCGUGAAGGAUGACUGCCCUAUGGGUUGUAAACUUCUUUUAUAAAGGAAUAAAGUCGGGUAUGCAUACCCGUUUGCAUGUACUUUAUGAAUAAGGAUCGGCUAACUCCGUGCCAGCAGCCGCGGUAAUACGGAGGAUCCGAGCGUUAUCCGGAUUUAUUGGGUUUAAAGGGAGCGUAGAUGGAUGUUUAAGUCAGUUGUGAAAGUUUGCGGCUCAACCGUAAAAUUGCAGUUGAUACUGGAUGUCUUGAGUGCAGUUGAGGCAGGCGGAAUUCGUGGUGUAGCGGUGAAAUGCUUAGAUAUCACGAAGAACUCCGAUUGCGAAGGCAGCCUGCUAAGCUGCAACUGACAUUGAGGCUCGAAAGUGUGGGUAUCAAACAGGAUUAGAUACCCUGGUAGUCCACACGGU